rnacentral:rRNA from 1 species
UACGGGGGGGCAAGCGUUGUUCGGAAUUACUGGGCGUAAAGGGCUCGUAGGCGGCCAACUAAGUCAGACGUGAAAUCCCCAGGCUCAACCGGGGAACUGCGUCUGAUACUGGAUGGCUAGAGGUUGGGAGAGGGAUGCGGAAUUCCCAGUGUAGCGGUGAAAUGCGUAGAUAUUGGGAGGAACACCAGUGGCGAAGGCGGCUCACUGGACCGGUACUGACGCUGAUGCGCGAAAGCGUGGGGAGCAAACGGG